rnacentral:rRNA from 1 species
CCUACGGGGGGCAGCAGUGGGGAAUAUUGGACAAUGGGCGAAAGCCUGAUCCAGCCAUGCCGCGUGUGUGAAGAAGGCCUUCGGGUUGUAAAGCACUUUCAGUGGGGAAGAAAGCCUUGGGGCUAAUACCCUCGAGGAAGGACAUCACCCACAGAAGAAGCACCGGCUAACUCCGUGUCAGCAGCCGCGGUAAUACGGAGGGUGCGAGCGUUAAUCGGAAUUACUGGGCGUAAAGCGCGCGUAGGCGGUCUGAUAAGCCGGUUGUGAAAGCCCCGGGCUCAACCUGGGAACGGCAUCCGGAACUGUCAGGCUAGAGUGCAGGAGAGGAAGGUAGAAUUCCCGGUGUAGCGGUGAAAUGCGUAGAGAUCGGGAGGAAUACCAGUGGCGAAGGCGGCCUUCUGGACUGACACUGACGCUGAGGUGCGAAAGCGUGGGUAGCAAACAGGAUUAGAUACCCGUGUAGUC